CCAAAUGACUCUCGGCAACGGAUAUCUCGGCUCUCGCAUCGAUGAAGAACGUAGCGAAAUGCGAUACUUGGUGUGAAUUGCAGAAUCCCGUGAACCAUCGAGUCUUUGAACGCAAGUUGCGCCCAAAGCCAUUAUGCCGAGGCACGCCUGCCUGGGUGUCGCA
rnacentral:rRNA from 1 species